GACGAACGCUGGCGGCGUGCUUAACACAUGCAAGUCGAACGGAAAGGCCCUGCUUUUGUGGGGUGCUCGAGUGGCGAACGGGUGAGUAACACGUGAGUAACCUGCCCUUGACUUUGGGAUAACUUCAGGAAACUGGGGCUAAUACCGGAUAGGAGCUCCUGCUGCAUGGUGGGGGUUGGAAAGUUUCGGCGGUUGGGGAUGGACUCGCGGCUUAUCAGCUUGUUGGUGGGGUAGUGGCUUACCAAGGCUUUGAAGGGUAGCCGGCCUGGGAGGGUGACCGGGCACAUUGGGCCUGCGAUAGGGCGCAGACGCCUACGGGAGGCAGCGGUGGGGAACAUUACACAAUGGGCGGAAGCCUGAUGCAGCAACGCCGGGUGCGGGAUGACGGCCUUCGGGUUGUAAACCGCUUUGGCCUGUGCCGAAGCGUGAGUGACGGUAAUGGGUAAAGAAGCACCGGCUAACUACGUG
rnacentral:rRNA from 1 species